rnacentral:rRNA from 1 species
GUGGGGAAUCUUAGACAAUGGGGGAAACCCUGAUCUAGCCAUGCCGCGUGAGCGAUGAAGGCCUUAGGGUUGUAAAGCUCUUUCAGCUGGGAAGAUAAUGACGGUACCAGCAGAAGAAGCCCCGGCUAACUCCGUGCCAGCAGCCGCGGUAAUACGGAGGGGGCUAGCGUUGUUCGGAAUUACUGGGCGUAAAGCGCGCGUAGGCGGACCAGAAAGUUGGAGGUGAAAUCCCAGGGCUCAACCUUGGAACUGCCUUCAAAACUCCUGGUCUGGAGUUCGAGAGAGGUGAGUGGAAUUCCGAGUGUAGAGGUGAAAUUCGUAGAUAUUCGGAGGAACACCAGUGGCGAAGGCGGCUCACUGGCUCGAUACUGACGCUGAGGUGCGAAAGCGUGGGGAGCAAACAGGAUUAGAAACCCGAGUAGUCC